rnacentral:lncRNA from 1 species
CAUUCACGCGGCAGCUGGGAGGAACCAAACGGGCGCCUGGGAGGGGGCGGCUCCCGCGAGCCCAGCGCGGGGCGAGGGGCGGGAAGGGAGAAAACGGGGGUGGCGGGCAGGAGAGAAGGGAGGCCGCCUCGGGCCUGCUUGCCAGCUGCCGAGUGAACUGGGAAGAAAUGAGACAAGGGAAGAAUUCCUCGAAUUUUAGGAUUGUGUUCUUGAAGGCUGGAGAGCGUUUAGUAAAUAUAGAACGACUGCAAAUACAGGUAUUGCUGCCUAAGUUUUGAGCUGACCAGAGAAAAUCGCCAUCACAGUCACCAAAUCAAAUAGCUGCAUGGGACUUAAGAGGUGAGUUCGUCCUAACUUUUAUUUUACACAGGGAACUGAGCCCCAAAAUGUAUAAGCCAUACUAUACUCUUGGCCUCUCUAUUUUUGCUAUCAAAAAGAAGCAUGUCUUGUACCAUAGGUACUUCUAAAAUGUUCAGAGUACAUGUCAGGUAACAAAUGUAGCUAUUAAUCUAUUUCAAAAUAUGCUUGAUAGACUUUCAAUAUUCCUGUGACUUUCUGGAAAUGAAACAGGAAAUCAAAUUUUAAAAAAGCCCAGGGUCCAAUUUUCAAUAUCUAAUCCAGUUUCUUC